rnacentral:lncRNA from 1 species
ACAAGAGGCAAAAUAAACCUCUGACACUCGCUAAAGUUUCACACUACAGAAGUGAAAAGAUAUCACCCGGGACUUCCUUUCCAUUGUACAUUCACCUACUACCAUCGCUACUGAUGCUGAUACUGGCUCACCGGGAUCAUCAUUUGCAACAGAGCAUGUUUGGCUCCUUCUCAGGUGAUCUUUGUAUUGCUGUUUUCCUGUGUUGACACCUAUUGGAGAAACGGUUUAUACUAGUUUCAGAAACCAUCUCAUUUGAUGAUCUUAUGACUUGCUAUUAUCCUUCACAAAUGUGUUACUUACUGUACUUCCGCAGUUUCCAUCUAUUAAAACUAAUCAAACAUGCUUCAUUUACUGCCUGU